rnacentral:tRNA from 2 species
GCCCCCGUAGCUCAGGGGAUAGAGCGGCGCCCUCCGGAGGCGUAGGCGCAGGUUCGAAUCCUGCCGGGGGCACCA